CCUUGUAGUAGUUCUCAAGAACCUGGGUCUCCGAGCGCCACACGGGACCACUUCCGGCCAGUGGUGCCCCUCCCCAAGCUACAGUCACCUACUGCUCUGUGAGGAAGGAGGAAUCUCCAGCCAGCAGCAGAGGAAACAGGAUGGGGAAUACAGAGCAAAGUUGCUCUGAGCAAGAGACCCUCAGGAGUUCUUGAUGGCAG